rnacentral:lncRNA from 1 species
UUUAAAUGUGAGAGGUGGUGGGGAUUAAGGGAUGGCAAGAGUUACUAACUUGUUCACACUAUAGUAUCAUUGAAUGAUACAAUUCCAGAAUGCACCCCCUCACUUAAGCAAUGUAAAACCGAAUUUACAAGUCAAAACAGCCAAAACUGUGGCUUACUCCUGCCUCCCUUCCACCUUCCAAAUCUCAUGCCAAUACAUGUCAUUGCUUAAGCCCUAACUGUGAAAGAGUUUUAGCUUUCUAGCAUCUGUAGCACAGGAAAUCGACAAAGUGGAAAUGGAUGCUGUCUGCCAAGGAACCACACCCAGCACAACCAGUGUGUCUACAGUGCAGAGAAGGGGAGAGAGACAGUGGUAGAAGAAGAGGCUAGAGCCCCCAGGGUGUCUGCUAAGCCAUUAAGAAUUUGGGUCUAGCCAGGUGUGGUGGCUCAAGCCUGUAAUCUCAGUAGCUCAGGAAGCUGAGGCAGGAGGAUUUCAAGUUCAAAGUGAGCCUCAACAAUUAGGCAAGUCCCCAAGCAAGUUGGCAAGAUCCUGUCUCAAAAUAUUUA